ensembl:lncRNA novel transcript, antisense to SNX29
GAAGGCUCCAAUCACAAAGGAUGCCCGGUUCCACACUCAAGUCUAAUGCCUUACUAAGCUAGUACGUUUGGACCUCAGAACACCCCUGAGACGCCGGUGAGAAUGUCCUCAUUUCACAAAUGAGGACAGGGGACCAGAGAGUCUUUAAGGAAAAAAGAAAGAGAAAUCUAGUUAGGAAGUGGUGGAGCUGAGGCUGGAAGCCAGGACUCUGAUACCGGCCCGCGCACCGCCCCACCCCGCAUCCUGGCUCCAGAACUCCCCGCUGGGACGCGUCUCUCCUGCUGCACCUAGCACAGCUCUAUGACUCACGGGUGUUAGGGCACCGUGCUUAGGGCAGUGACAGGACUGUCAGCAGCCUGAGAGUAUGGCCGCUAAGUCAACUCAGGACUCCCUACCCCGAGACACAGGGGAGCCCUCAGCACUGCCUGUACAAGGGAGGGCGGAGGGAAGGAGCAGUGAAGGACGGAAGGAACGCACUGCUGAGUGUGCUCUGCGUGGCAAGCAGGCUUCAGAGCCUGCUCUUCGCAAGAGGAACUUUCUGCCUGGCCCAAACAGUGACACUGUGAGGCCUGCUGCAGAGACUGAGCUGGUGCCCUGCAGCCUCAGACACCCACGGCAGGACCUGUGUGGAGAGCACCCAUCCUUCCCAGUCAUGCAGCCUAGCCUAGAGACACAAGCAAAGCCAGAACGAGACAGGGCAGUGCUCAUACCCCCCAAAGGACCAUGGCCCCCUGCACAGGGUCUAGCCAUGAGGACCCACUGCCCAACAGGUCCUCCUUCAAAAGCGUAUUGCAGAGGCGGCAGCAGCUCCACCAGCAGGAAUCAGGUUGCCAGCUUAGCCUAUCGAACACAAAACACUGCUGCUUCCCAGCCACGUCAACCAGGAGGAAGAGGGAAAGAGGAUACAGCUGGAUAUGGAAGCUGCAGCCCCAGAAGUUUGGCUGUGUGACUCUGAGCACUGUAUUUGGCCUCUGCCUCAGUGACUUUCUCAUCUGUACAAUGGACCAGUAAUGCCUGUACCUUCUGGGUUGCUGUAAAGCCCAGGAUAACUUCAGAGAGGCAUCUCGCAUAAUGACGGCUGCUUUACCAUCUAAUGAGUACUAAUCAUUACCUUAAAUGUUUAAGAGGCAGGUCUUGCUCUGUUGCCCAGGCUGGGGUACAGUGUCAUGAUCACUGCUCAAUGCAGCCUCGAACUCCUGGGCUCAAGCAAUCCUCCUGCCUCAUUCUCCCAAGAAGCUGAGUCCACAGACAUGUGCCACCAUGACCAGCUAAUUUUUAUUUACUUUAUUAAUCUGUUUAUUUUGAGAUAGAGUCUCACUCUGUUGCCCAGGCUGGAGUGCAGUGGCACGAUCUCGGCUCAUUGCAACCUCCGCCUCCUGGGUUCAAGCGAUUCGCCUGCCUCCAAGCGAUUCUCCUGCCUCAGCCUCCUGAGUAGCUGGGAUUACAGGCACCCACCACCAUACCCAGCUAAUUGUUUUCUGUAUGUUUAGUAGAGAUGGGUUUCACUAUGUUGGCCAGGCUGGUCUCAAACUCUUGACCUCAGGUGAUCUACCCACCUCAGCCUCCCACAGUGCUGAGAUUACAGACAUGAGCCACCAUGCCCGGCCCCGUAAUCAUUACUUACCACCAAGAAUGCCUCUCAUUCCACACUCAUGAACCACAUUUGUCUAUCAGUUUUAAGUGUUAUGAUGGUUACCCUGCUUGUUAUUAAAGCCUGCCAAUAACAGAGCUGAAAUAUCGCAGCCAAAGGCAGAGACACGUGCUAUUCCAGAAAGACCCAACUGCUCUGCAUCUGUGUCAGCCUCCAUUACUCUGGUUCACAAUGUUUCUCUCUCACCCGCAUCUUCUAUUUGUACCUCCUGGUCCCCCAGAUUGGGACCCAUGGGACUAUUUAAUCCAAAAUUUUAUUGAAACAUUGUUGCCGCAAAUUAAGUUUUUUAAAAAUGACAAUAGUUAAAUUAAACUGGUAAAAAG